rnacentral:lncRNA from 10 species
UGAGCAGCCUGGGAGGAGAGGGGUCACAUGAGCAGCUUGGCUCAGCUGACCCUGGAGCCAGUUCCCUCAGGUUUCCCAGAGCACAGCCUGGCUGAGACUGAAGGCGGCUUAUCCAUCUUGAAUUCUGAGGAAACAGAGACCCAGGGCUCCUCUAAAAGGUGCCUCUUGCAUGGUGGCCUGACAUGUCAACGUGCCCAGGAGUCUGUGACAGGCAGCCAGGUGCCUCAAUCCCACUGCCUGGGGGGCCAGGGCUGGGCUGGGACUCACCAUAUUCUGGAAGUCGCACAAACUCCGAGGGCUCGCUGGGAAGGCUGAUUCCCCAGGGGUUACUGGCACUGACUCUGAACUGAUAAGGACACCCGGGACUAAGGUCUUCGAUGACGAGGCCUCAGCCUCCCACUCUGUAAAAUGGGAUUGAUCAUCCCUGUCUGGGUGAUCGAGCAUGUUAAGUAGGGAUACAUGCAUGAAGACACCUUGAAACCUGCCCUGGGUCAUAAAUAUGUCAGGGAGGUUUGGAUCAUCUUAGCCAAAACAGCUGCUCGACAUCUGGGAUCAGAAGGCAGCUGUAAUCUGGCACUGAGGCCUCUGUGCUGAGUUGGAAGACACAACAAGGAACAACUUCUGAAAGAUGAGGAGGCUAAUAUGUUCACAAUUCUGAAGGACCUCCUAGAGACGAAGAGAAGACAGAAAAACAAGAGCAGGAGGCCGGGCGCGGUGGCUUACGCCUGUAAUCCCAGCACUUCCGGAGGCUGAGGCAAGUGGACUGUUUGCGCUCAGGAGUUUCACAGCAGCCAGCAGCCUGGGCAGCAUAGUGAGACCCUGUCUCUACUAAAAAUACAAAAAUUAGCCGGGUGUGGUGGUGUGCGCUUUAGUCCCAGCUACUCAGGAGGCUGAGGUGGGAGGUUGGCUUGAGCCCAGGAGGUGGAGGCUGCAGUGAGCCCACAUUGCACCACUGCACUCCAGCCUGGGUUGAUGGAGCCAAACCCUGUCUCAAAAAAAAUAAACAAUAAAAAUAAAGGAAAAUAAAAGUGGCUCAUGCCUGUAAUCCCAGCACUUUGGGAGGCCAAGGUGGGAGGAUCACGUUAGCCCUGGCGUUUGAGACCAGCCUGGGCAAUAUAGCAAUAGCCUGUCUCUAUUCAAAUUUUUGAAAAAAUGGUUAGCAUGGUAAAUUUUAUUAUGUGUGUUUUACUGCAAUUUUAAAAAUAAAUGUUUUAAAAGAAGAGAAAAGAAAAAGAAGAGCAGGAGAUAGUGCACCUUCCUCUCUGUACUCCACAGUGUAACCAGAAAUAGUGCAGUUUCCUGUGCUGGAGGGGGGCAGCCAGCGGAGAAUCACGGAGGUGCAGCUUCUCUCCUGGGCAAUGGGGCGGUUAGGGGCUGCUGGAACACCUAUGGAGACAGAAAUCAGGAUCAGGUGCUAUUUCUGCAGAACUUGGCAUUUUACACCAAGGUAUAAGUCAUCUAGGAAACAUUACCUAACCGAUGUCACAAUUUUUUCCUGUGACCUUCUCCACCAAGUGGCAUACCUUUCUCCAGGCCCAAGGCAGAUGUGGGAGACACACCAUGCUGUCUGAAGUUCUUCCUUGGGCUAAAUACUGCACCCUGAAGAUAAAGCUUGGCCAGGGAACUAACAUGUUGAUGGUAGGUUUAUGGUAGGCCACAGACAGCUCUUAGCAAAGAUUCGUUCUCGUCUCAUUUGCCAGAACUUUAUUUUUGAAUUUUUACAAUGGACAUUUUCUCCCCCAGGUCGCAGGGAGCCCUUAUAAUGUUCACUUAAAACGUAGUGCCAGGUGUGCUGGCUGACGCCUAUAAUCCUAGCACUUUGGGAUGCCAAGGCAGGAGGAUCACUUGAGCCCAGGAGUUCGAGGCUCCAUCACUACAAAAAGUUUAAAAAAUGAGCUGGGCAUGGUGGCACAUGCCUAUAGUCCUAGCUAGUUGGAAGGCUGAGGUGGGAGGAUAGCUUGAGCCUGGGAGGUUGAGGCUGCAGUGAGUGGUGUCAUGCUACUGCACUCCAGCCUGAGCGACAGAGCAAGACCCUGUCUCAAGAAAAAAUAAAGUUUGAGUAACACAAAUUGAUAGAGACAGAAAGUAGAGCAGUGGUGGCCAAGAAGCACUGGGGAGGAGGGAAUGGGGAGUCAUUGUUCAACAGGUACAGAUGCAGUUUCAGAAAGAUGGGAAGAUGAAAAAGUUCUGUGGAUGGAUGGUGGUGAUGGUAACCCAAAAAUGUGGAUGUACUUAAUGCCACUGAACUGUACACUUAUUUAUUUAUUUUUAAGCUGUACAUUUAAGAUGGUUCAGAUGGGAUGGGCACAGUGGCUCAUGCCUGCAAUCCCAGCACUUUGGGAGGCCAAGACGGGAGGAUUGCGUUAGCCUUGGAGUUUGAGACCAGCCUGGGCAACAUAGCG